rnacentral:rRNA from 1 species
UCCGGUUGAUCCUGCCGGACCUUACUGCUAUCGGGGUGGGACUAAAACAUGCUAGUCGAGCGCCUCCAAGCUAUGGUGAAGGCGCGGCGAACGGCUCAGUAACACGUGGCCAGCCUACCCUCAGGACGGAGACAACCCCGGGAAACUGGGGCUAAUCCCCGAUAGGUGAGGACGCCUGGAAUGACCCCUCACCCAAAGGACGUUGGAACCAUGCUUUUCAGCGUCGCCUAAGGAUGGAGCCGCGGCCGAUCAGGUUGUUGGUGGGGCAAAGGCUCACCAAGCCUAUAACCGGUACGGGCCAUGGGAGUGGGAGCCCGGAGAUGGGCACUGAGACAAGGGCCCAGGCCCUACGGGGCGCAGCAGUUGCGAAACCUCCACAAUGCACGAAAGUGUGAUGGGGCUAACCCGAGUGCCGUCCGCUGAGGAUGGCUUUUCUCCGCUGUAAGGAGGCGGAGGAAUAAGGAGAGGGCAAGACUGGUGUCAGCCGCCGCGGUAAUACCAGCUCUCCGAGUGGUAGGGACGAUUAUUGGGCUUAAAGCGUUCGUAGCCGGCCUGGCAAGUCUCUCGUCAAAUCCAGCGACCCAAUCGCUGGGCCGCGGGAGAUACUGUCAGGCUUGGGAGCGGGAGAGGCCGACGGUAUUCCCGGGGUAGGAGUGAAAUCCUGUAAUCCCGGGAGGACCACCAGUGGCGAAGGCUGUCGGCUAGAACGCGUCCGACGGUGAGGGACGAAAGCUGGGGGAGCGAACCGGAUUAGAUACCCGGGUAGUCCCAGCUGUAAACGAUGCGGGCUAGGUGUCGGUGUGGCUACGAGCCACUUCCGUGCCGCAGGGAAGCCUUAAGCCCGCCGCCUGGGAAGUACGUACGCAAGGCUGAAACUUGAAGGAAUUGGCGGGGGAGCACCACCAGGGGUGAAGCUUGCGGUUCAAUUGGAUUCAACGCCGGA